rnacentral:misc_RNA from 1 species
UCACCCCUCAAGCCCGGCUUGUUGUUGGACGUCGGCGGCGGCCUCUAGUGGCGUACCGCCCGUCUCAAAGAUAAUGACGGCGUCUGUGAGGACACCUGUACACUGAGCUUUCGGGCACGUACUAGGCUUGACACUCGCAGACCCGGUCUAUAGGGUUCGCUUCGGCGGCCCAACUUUUUACCAA